UAUAUAUAUAUACUAUAAAUAUAUUUAAACAGUGAAAUUGAUCGUUAAGGAAUGUAGAAUGUGUAGACAUGAAUGUUGUAUGACAAUCAGGACGUAUCCACAGAGGACGGGUUUUGCCUUGGACUGGCGUUCCCUGCUGCAGUGAUUACACUCUGAACUCAACACACACUCACGUGACCAGGCACCGGCACACAGCAGUUAGAUGCACGCACGGUCUCCGACACGCCGGUGAGACGGAGAUCCACCAAACUGUUUAUGAAAAGCACAGUCUCCAGUUGUUUUGAGUCAGAACUGUUGACUAGAUUGCCCAUUUCUCUAUUUCAUGACUGUGGAACCAAUGGUCUUGAAUUAACCCACACCGGUUUGAUAAAUGCAGUCCUUUAGGUAGUAAUCGAUUUGAAUGGUUAAAAGGAACAGAAUGUUCGAGAGAGAGAGAAACAAGGGCCACUGUUGAAAGGACCAGAGUUGUGGACCAGCUGAUUAUUUACAAGACAUGUUGCACAAUGACUUUCAUUUUGGCCUGUGUGUAUUUUCAAUAUUUGCUCUAGAUAAAACACGAAAUGAGUUUAUCUGGACCUCCCCCGACACAGAAUCGGGCUUAGUCCACAGCUGUUGGUAAGGUUGCCACUGGAAUUGGCUGCUUUUGUUCUGUGAUAUAUGUUAUGGAGAAUAAUUUGGUUCAUGUACGACAGCACCUUAAACCGGAGUGCUUUACGCAGAUCACUCCAUUCCUCACAGCUGACUUAAAGAGCUUGGAAGUGUUCUAAGGAUAGAAGCACACUUUCAUCAAAGACGUGUCGAUGGUUUCCCUGCUGUUAAUCUUACGCCAGCAAACACUCUGAAGCUCUCUUUCUUCUGUGAUGCGUCACCAAGGCGACCUAGGGUGUUAUGGCCGUGUGUAGUCCUAGUUCAUUCUUCAAUUGUUCGGUAGACAAGUUCGUGAAAUCAUUUUUUUUUUGUGGCAUUGAGAUGAAAACAAUUGCUUGUGAAAGAGGCCGGUGUCAAGUGCAGAGAGCUUGAGGUGGGGAGAUUGGUUUUCAUGUUUGAAGACUAGUGUAAUAACAAAGUGCUUUAACUCUUAUCUACUGAGUUCAUUUGGUUUAAAAGGGUUAGACAGGUUUAUCUGGAUGUCACUGUUUGACACCCUUUUGAAUUUAAGAAGGCUAUUAUUUUUUGCAACUGGCUUUCUGUGCUGUCCUUUGGGGGAGAUGUGUCUAUGAAUCAAACCCUUCUUGGAAGAGGUUCCCUCUGGACCUGAUGUCUGACUGCCAUGGUGCUGUUCUAAUUGCACAAAAUGAGCGAUGUCGCAAAUUUCCCCAUGAGAGCACAGAGUGGACCUAUCUGCUGGAACCCUCUGGAACUUUGGUUUCAUUGGAGACCCACCAAAGAUACUGUUCAUCAGUUGCUCCGACAACACAUUGCUGUAAAGAUCCGAACAAAGGGGUACAUAUUGGCACACGCACACGCACACACACACACAGCAUAGUGUGUCAGAAUGUGACCGUGGCAUUGCAAUAAGCACACCCUCUGUUCUGUCAGCGAGGAAACGGCAAGCUCACGGCACAGCGAGUUAAUUAAGCCUCACACUGGCUGCACUGUAGCAAUGCAGGCCUCUAGCCCUGGGUUCUAUAAAGUGAAGCCAAAUGAAAGAUAUGUACUUACUCGUUCAGCUCCACACUCAAAUCCAUAACUCCCAGCACUGCUUUUGCGUCUGGCAGGGUGAUUGGGGAGGAAGGGAGGGAGGUAUUCACACUUCGCUGCUUUUACACAGGAAAGUCCAAGAUGAGAACACCAAGACUGCAGGACAGUGCUUUUUUUGAGUCACCAUAGCACUAGUGUUAUUGGACAGUAGAUUUCAAUAUAGCUGAGUCUUGGAGGGGUUUAUUGGUAGUGGGGAUGAGGAAGGGAGUGUGGAGACACUCGUACUGAAAGCCCCUGGCAAUCGGAGAGAGAGUUCAUUGCGAACUUGAGAUGAAAAUGAAAAAUAAUCAUAAGUAUAUGAAUAUAUCUUUGUGAAGAUGUUUGUGUAUGAUAUUAAUAUAAUUGUGAAGAAAGUGUGACACAUAGGUCUGGAUUAAAUUAUUAUAAUGUACAAUUUAAAUCAUCCUCUUUUGGGGAUAAAUGUGAGUAGGCAUUUUGUACAGACUUUCCUUUUCAAUUCUUCGAGAGAGAUAAUGUAUUUCACAUUAGCAAAUUAUUUAUUCAUAAGCAGAACAUUUUUAUAUUGAUUUCAAAAUAUUUAUCUGUAUAGAAGACAGGACAGGUAUGCACUAUUUUUAACAGUUGUGUGAGUUUCCUCUUUUGUUGGCCUGCUGGCCCAUACUACUGGUAUGUUUAGGGAGAGGUUGCCCCUGAGCUGGUCCAGUACAACGUCUGCUCCCAGGCCUCCACUAGCUAACAUUCAUUUUGAGUGAUGUUCGAGAGAAGUCUGGUGGGAGUCAGCGAGAGAGAGAUGAGAGACAACACUGUGAAGUGGGCGUUUAUAUGAUGAUGCAACAUGACCUUGCUGCUCUGAUUGGUUGUAUUGAUCUACCGUGAAAGGACUGUUCACAAGAGAGGGGUUGUCUGUUCCUCCUGAAGGCAUCCCACUAAAAUGAAUAGCCCAUACUAGAAACUCCUCUACUGGUGGUACGAUAGGAUGGUAAUUACAUCUGUAUGGUCCAAAGUUAUUAACGGAGAAGGAUCUCAGCAUUGAACAAGUCAUUUAGAAUUCAAUGACAAACCAAGAGCCCGUAACGCGGAUAGAUAUGGAGCGUUAGCUUUUUCUUCUUCCUCAUCAUAAUCUUUGUCUAUUGAGACGUGUUUGGUUCUGUUUUUAAUAAAUGAAAGAGACAUAUGUGCAUUAUUUGACCUGCUGUCUGUGGUGUGUGCAGUACCGUAUGAGGUUCUGACAUGAAUGUGUGGAUGUUCCAAAAUCUUGGCACCGAGAAGAGAACAAGAAAAAAACGAUAUGUAAAUAGACGGAGUAAUUCCUAGAAAGUGCAACAAAAUAUUACGUCCAAAAUAAAUGAUUUAUUAAUUCAAAGAUGGACACAAAGGUAUAUUAUAAAACAAUGCAUGGAAUAUUGUCAAGCAAUCGCACGGUGCAGUUGUUGUCUACAUGUUUUCUUAAAAAACAGAGCGAGAUGGAAGUGGUGCACCUCUUUUUGGAAGGUUCACAACGGUAGAGAGACAGACCUUUUUUUAUUUUUAUUACUUUGGAUCUUUCUGUGACACAGGCGAUGUCCAGUCUCACUGUGAUCAGUGAUGCAACGGUGAUGAUGGCUAAGGGUGAGGAGUGUUCCCAACCAUCCAGAGAACGAUCCGGAACGCUUCAACGCACCUUCACCAGAAAACACCACCAAUUUUGAUCUCCCACUUGUAGAGUAGUGUGACAUAAUGAACAAUACAACAAACAAAAAAAUAGAUCUAUAUAAAUACCUACUGAUACUGGACAUUCUCAUUUAUCAGUGUGGAUGCCAUGAUAUUCUGUGAGAAAUGUGAUUAUUUUUUGGUUUCCUUUCUGUGAGAAGACCGGCAGUUGAACCUGCUUCCUUUUGUACAUACUUGCUGUGGUUGUGUGUCUAAUAAAGUGCAGCUCUCUUGUA